AAGUUAUACAAAAUUUUGUAAAUAACACUAAUCUAGAAGAAAUUAAGCAACCAUCACUCACUAGUUGAACUCGAAUGACACUCUAGCAACAACAGAUAUUUAAGCCUCAAACGAUGAUUUUUAAUUACAAACAUAGAACAAACAAUCAAGAAAAUAAUCUCAUUUAUUGCUUUAAACAUUCAGCUAACUUAGAUUAAUUAUUUCCAGCACAUGAGAUAAGAACUAAACCUUACUUCAAAAAUAUAAAUUUUAGGAAUCUCCACAACUAAUAUCUGCAUGUUGAUUUUCAGAAUAACACAAACAAUAUGAAUAAAAAGAAACUGAUAUGAUGUAAUUCACACAACCCCUAACAUACUUGUAUCCACAAUUCUAAUAACUUGACAAGGAAAUAAGGUAAGCUGAAACUAUUUAAUUACAGGUGUUUUAUACAUAUAUUCGUCAUAAAGAGCAGACCUUAUUAAAGGCACGGAAGUAAACUAAAAAAGUUAAAAUCAUCUCAUUUUGCAUUCAUUCUUGACCCAAAAGUAGUAUAACAGUUGAAGAAAUUACCUGAUCAACAGAGAAAAAAUAUUAGUAAGGAAGAGACUGAAUUUCAACAACAAACAACAAUGUAACAGCAGCAAAAUCAGCAACUUAUGAUCCGAGAAACAACCUAGAAAAAUCCAGCAAGAAAGUAUGUGAAACCAGUAGCUACUUCCCCAUGCAAUCACUUAGGAUUCCUCUAUUUUCUUACAAGUUUUCCACUUUAAGAAACACUCACAAAGUUUAGAAUUUUUAAAGUUUUCUGCUGAUCUUUUCUAAAGUUUUUGUGCUUUUCUUAAGGUGUAGAAGAUGAUCGUUAAGGUUGUUAGAGAGCGUGUGUUCUUUUAUAAGAGAAGAAGCAAGCGCUCAUGAUUGAAUAUUAGUCCAAAGGACAUAUUUAUCACCAAACACCUGCUCUAACUAUUCAAAAAUGAUAAACUUUUGAUUCAAAAUCUAUCCAAAAGAUAGUAUUUCAAUACCAAACAAUGACAAACUUUUGGAGUUUUGUACUUCCAGAAGCACAGGAAUAGUAAAAGCAACAAAACUUGUACUAUUCCUUCUUUUAAAUUUCAGCUUUUAUCCACAAAAAUUCAAAUACUCAAAUCCAAUCCAAUCAUGAAAUAGACAAAGUAACCACAAGACUUUCAUUGUAACUAAAUUUAGCAUUCAAACAAACUAGAUUAAAGCAAUAUGAUCUCUGCAAACUAACAGUGAACAACUGAAAACACAAAAUAUUUCGGAAUAUAGAAUUUGGAUGAGCAUAGCUUAAUUAUCAUACAACGAUCAACAACGAGCUCUUAUAAUAUAAACGAACAACCGAUUCACCACUAAUAUUACCAUAGAUUAACUAACCUACAAAUACUACUAAUAAAAUCAUGAACAAAGAUUAAACCUUAAAACUAAAUCCGAAGUAGAAGCUGAAAAAUCAUAAACGGAAAAAGGGAGACGGAUUGAAGAUUCAUCGAAAACUCGAGCAACUAGGUAGCGGUGAUCCAACUACGGUGGUGGUGGUGGUGACUCGAUCCGGGACAUGGUUUUAUUGUUGAUUGAUACUAAAAAUCCUAAAUCCAGUGAGCUGAAUUUCGAUUUUGGUAUAAUCGACGAUAAAAUCAUAUCUGAGUCGAUUGGAGGCAAGAACAGAAGAGCGUUGGAGGUAGCGGCGAUGUUAGGUAGUCAGUGGUGGUCACCAGAAUCCGAUCACAGGAUUUUUGGCAUAAAACCAAUGCCAAAUAGUAGCCCCCAUAGAGUUAUACCCAUUUAUGUGAAAAUUAGGUGGAAAGAAGGGGUCAAUCAUCCCGAGUUUAUGAAAAAAAAGGCAGCUGGGUUUCCUAGAUCUAAAAUUCAUGGAUUUUGCGAGGUUUUUAUGGAAUUUAGCUUAGGGAUUCGGAAAUAGGACGUUAAGGAGAACAUAGAGUGAAAAAAUGGGGCCGAAUGGACCACUACCGGCGGCGCGCAUGGUGGUGGCAGUGAUGGAGCGGUGGGCGGCUUUGAGAGAGGGUAAGAGAGCGAGAUAGAGGAGGCUAGGGUUUAUAUUAUGUGAAAAA
rnacentral:lncRNA from 1 species